rnacentral:lncRNA from 1 species
GGACCAGAAGCUCCUCCGGGACCAGGAGCACUUGAAGGUGUAGAAGCUCCUCCGGGACCAGGAGCUGGUGAGGAUGACGGCACUGAUGCUGGAGAUGGUGCUGGCACUGAUGCUGGAGUAGGUGCUGGACCCGCUGGUGUUUUUGGUGCUGGGGCUGGUGUUGCUGCUGCUGGUGUUUUUGCUGGUGCUGGUGCCGAAGUCGGUGGUGCAGGUGUAGUUGACGGUGUUGAUGCUGGCGGAGGUGUGGAUGAGGGUGGAGGUGUGGAUGCUGAUGGAGGUGUUGAUGGUGGCGAUGAUGCUGGUGGAGGGGUGGCUUUAGGAGCUGGAGCUGGAGCUGCACCACCUCCUGAAACGGAGACGGUCAAUUUUUGUCCCAAGGAACAGUGCUGGGCGAAGGUGCAAAUGAAAUAUGCCUGCCCUGGGGAGGUUAGAUUGAUUCUUGCCGGACCAACAGUUUGUAGUGAGAUGGGAUUGCUUGAGGUGCAUCCGUCAUAAC